rnacentral:rRNA from 1 species
GUGGGGAAUAUUGGACAAUGGGCGAAAGCCUGAUCCAGCAAUGCCGCGUGAGUGAUGAAGGCCUUAGGGUUGUAAAGCUCUUUUACCAGGGAUGAUAAUGACAGUACCUGGAGAAUAAGCUCCGGCUAACUCCGUGCCAGCAGCCGCGGUAAUACGGAGGGAGCUAGCGUUGUUCGGAAUUACUGGGCGUAAAGCGUACGUAGGCGGUUAUUCAAGUCAGGGGUGAAAGCCUGGAGCUCAACUCCAGAACUGCCCUUGAAACUAGAUAACUAGAAUCUUGGAGAGGUGAGUGGAAUUCCGAGUGUAGAGGUGAAAUUCGUAGAUAUUCGGAAGAACACCAGUGGCGAAGGCGACUCACUGGACAAGUAUUGACGCUGAGGUACGAAAGCGUGGGGAGCAAACAGGAUUAGAAACCCUAGUAGUCC